CAGCCGGAGAGCGCGCCCGCGAGUGGGAGCGGGAGGGGAGGCGGGGAGCUGCGGGCGGCGCGGGCUGGACUCAACCAUCCCCGCGGAGGGGCGGGGGCUGCCUCGGCGCGCACGCUGCAGAAGGAGACUCGUUGGCUCGCGUGGGGAAGCCCACGCCGCGCACGGCACGCGGGAGAAACCACGCGAGGGAGCAAGGGAGCGAAGGAGCGGGGCCGCGGGCGAGCCGGGUGCUGCGGGACUCAGGCUGGCCGGCCUCCAUGGACUGCUUUCUCCUUGAGGAGCAGAGCGCCAAGCGAGCCCUGCGUAACUUGGGAAAGAAAAGCGGGUGGACGGGAUGGAGCAAGGGCGCGCUGGGCCCGGACACACUGCUGUCCAAGUGCCUUUCACACCUGGGACAUGCUCUAGAGCAGGGCGCCCGCAGACAGGGAGGCGCCAAGGCCCCAUCUCCUCACUUUUGCUGGAGCAGGAUCGCCGGACAGGAACUUCAGCUCUUAGGAAACCAGACCCCCGUGUGGCGAUCUGGUUGGGAGAGCCGAGCCGCUGGGCGUGCUGGCACAGUCAGGGGAGCCAGUCGGGCACCCAGGGGUCAGGAAGGGGCCUCAGACAGGCCGAGGUCCUCCCCACUGUGCAGAGCCCUGGAGCCAGCAGAGAGGGGAGCGGGAGGCAGCAGCUGUGGCUACUCUCUGCGGGGCCUCACGGGCUCCCUGCCAGGGGCCUCUUGCGGGCCUCCGGCACACUCAGGGCAAGACAGAGAGGUGGUGGUUCAGUGGAAAUAAAGCCUCAGGUCACCGUGGGGGGGGGGGGCUACCACACUCAGAACAUUCCAGCGUCCAGCCACACAACUGCUUGCUGCCCUUCCCACGCGGCUGGCGGCGAGGGGUGGGCCCACGGUGGGCCCACCCUGGGCCCUGGCCCCUGGCCCCUGGCCCCUGGCCCUACACCUGCACCUUCUCAGGCCCUCCAGAGAUGAAAGGGCUUCGCUGCUUCUCCUUCUGCAGGAAUUCUGCCUGCUGUGUGCUCCCUACACUGUGAUCCUGUGGCGUGGCGGUGAACCCAGAAGCCGCGGGGGGACUACAGGCUGCAGAUGUAAGCCCUGAGCGCCAGUUCACCCAGUUCACGGAGGGCUCCUGUGGCCCCUGCGGCCAGAAGCUUUCUCUUCUAGAGGCAGCAGCUUCCAAACUGGAGGAACUGCGUCACAUCUCCAGAAGUGACUCGGGUUGUCCCGGGGCAGGGUCCUUUUUGAUAUUUUUAUUUAUUUUUUGCCUCUGUUAUCCUUGGAGGGAGAACAGAAAAACAAGAGCUCAGGAAACCCCAGAAAUUCCCAGGGGAGAACCGUGGCUUCCACUGUUUAGGCUGAACCAGGGGAAAAGAAGACACCCAGAUGGGCAAAGGCACUUCCAUCUGCUCUGAGCUGUAUUUUAGGAGCCGCAAACUGGAUCUUUCGAGAGAAAAGGAACACAUUCAGUCAGUCUCUCCCGGAGUGUCUCGAGGACGGACCUGCUGUUUAUCAACAUGCCUCUGUGGAAGCUCCCAGAGAUCUCCUCAGGGUUUUACUGUGGUCUUGCCCUCCGAGGCUUAGGGCCUUUCUGGGGAUCCGGACAUUCUGUAGUGAAGAUGCUGGAUUGGCCAAAUCCUGUGAGGCGCCGUGGAAAAGUAAGAUCCUCCAUUUCCUGGACAAGGUGAGGUGCUGGGAAGCAGGCCACAGAACUUGCCUGAGUCUGCAGGGCCAACUUCUGAGGCAUUUGCUUUUACCUCACUCACUCUACAUCCUCCAUCUACUCAUGUGUCCACCGGUUCCUACCAAAAUCCCACUCUAUGGACAAAUUCCUUGUCUGCACCCCAUGUGGAUUCUUGCUGGCUUGGGUUAAUGUGUUAAUUCUUCCAUUUUCUAGCCAGGUGGCCUAGUGCACUUACCUAAGUGCAAAAACUGAUUGCCUACUCCCCAAAAGAAUAUCUAUUUUUUAACUUACAUGAUUGCUGUGAGAAUUCAUUAAGAUGAAAUGUGGAAAAUGUUGAAUUUGAAUUUGAAAAGGAAUGAGAGAUUACCUCCCCCUUUCUCUGUUCUUCUUAGCUUUCCCUCUGAAUUUAAAUGUGUUUUUAUUUUUUACGGAUUCUCAUUCUAUUCUUAUCGAUUGAAAUAAAAGCCUUUAACCUAUUUCCUGAAAUUGUGUAUGCAGAAUCUAUUGGAAAAUCUUAAAGAAGCAAGUUAUCUGCUGGAAGUGGUGGCUGCACCUGUAAUCCCAGCACUUUGAGAGGUGGAGAUGGGAAGCUCACAAGUUUGAACCCAGCCUGGGCCACUCAGCAACUUAGUUAGACAUGGUCUCAAAAAUUAAGGGUUGAGGAUGUAGCUCAGUGCAGAGGCCCUGAGUUCAACGCCUCCACAAAAAGCAAGUCAUCAUCCAUUGAAUUCCCAUAGAUCUGUCAACCUGGAAUGUGUAGAAUUCUGCAGUUCAUGCUGUGAUUCACAGGUAGGAAGAAAAACUCUUCGAGGACAGCAGUGCGGGUGUGCACUAAGAACAAACCUCACUCGAGUCCUGUAUGUGCCUGCACAGAGGCUGAUUCUGAAAGACACAACGAGCUGUGGGUGUUGUAAAUAAUCGCUGGGAAAAGGAGGGAAACAGCAACAGAAGCACAAGCCUUCUCCAUCCCAACCCACUCCCUCCUGGGCCUCCACCCAAGGCCCUCUGGUGCACAAGGCCUGGCCUGAGCCUGCAGGAAGGCUGGAGCCACGUGUGGACUCCACCCAGCUCAUGACGGAAGUCACCCCUCCCUCGCCACAGGUCACUGCAGCCCCCUUAGCAGCCCCGGCUCUUAUCAAAGCAAUGCCUUCCGUGCUCUUCCUGUCAUUCUGUCAAAGUCUGAGAGAGAGAGAGACCUUCUGCAAUGGAAAGGAGAUCAAGAGAUCCCCUCCCAAGGGAGGGAGGAGAAGCAAAAGGGAGUGUUAUGUGCCUAUACCACCUGC